rnacentral:rRNA from 1 species
GACUCUCGGCAACGGAUAUCUCGGCUCUCGCAUCGAUGAAGAACGUAGCGAAAUGCGAUACUUGGUGUGAAUUGCAGAAUCCCGUGAACCAUCGAGUCUUUGAACGCAAGUUGCGCCCGAAGCCGUCAGGCUGACGGCACGCCUGCCUGGGCGUCACGCA